AGGGUCACUCACUGAGUGCCUACUCCAAUCCAUUCAACAAAGUAGAACUCAAAGGUGUGCUAGCAGGCAUUCCAGUGGGAAUGUCCAAAUGUGGACACGGCGCUUCCCCCAUGUAAGUGGAAGAGAGAGUGAGAUGCUUACCCUAUUGAAGAGACAACAGCCAUUAUUAGGUGAGUGGGACACAAAUGAGAUAGGUAUAAAACAAAAACUUGUUGUGUAUUAAUGUUUGACAGUACUAGGUGUUGGAAAGAUUCGUGGUACGGAAGCACUCUUGCUCUAAGAGUAGAACUUUAUACAACUGAAUGAGAAAGCAAUUUGAUAGCACCUAGCAAAGCUAAAGAUGGUGGCACAUCACUUGUCUCAUUUGUUCUCAACACCUUCUGACUAUAAAAAAAACGUAUAAAUAGUUCAUCUCGACAGUCCUUUCAGUAGAGGAAACCAAACCAAAACAAAAACAAAAAACAAAACAAAACAAAAAAAAAACCAGUGGGAGAAAACCAAGAGCGUACAUUUUUUUUUUUAAACAAGUCAGUUUUACUUAAAUGGGGACUGUCCAACAAAAACAUUGUUACCGGUUGAUGAUCUAUGACUAAGAAGUGACUUGAGAACAUGCUGAGCUUCAAGGUUCAGUAUGGGAUGGAAGCUACGUGCUCACAGGAACACCUAAAAAUCUGAAGAGAACCAUGGAUCUGAAAAGACCUCCAUUGGACGGACGGUGUCCCAUGACUCUCUCAGUGCCUGGGAAUCUUAAUGUCCCUGUGCAUUUCCAAUGGUGGAGGAAAACCUCAAUUUAAAAUACACUGUGACUGAUCUUGCAAAGCUGGUGUUCAAAUGAAGUUCACCUCUCUAGGGGAAAGUGGUGCGGAAAACAGAAUUCGAUGUGGAAUGUGAAACCCACUGUAAGAAUUCUUGUGUGCAUAUAUGCACAUGUCAUAUGUGGUUUACAUGUGUGUAACUAUUCAUGGGGAUGACACUGUGUGUAUGAGCAUGAUUAAACAUGCAUUUGUGUGGGAGCAGAGGUAAGAAGCCAACCAUGAGGCUCAUCCUCAAUUGUCCUUGGAACAGUCUCAAAAUAUAGCCCUUGAUGACUGUGAGGUCACCUAGAUCCACCUGCCUUUAUUCACCAAUGCUGGGAUUAAAGGCAUGCUCCACCAUACCUGGCUCCAUUUUCUCUUCUGAGAAGGAGUUUGCUUGUUUUUUUAACUGAACCUGGACCUCAGUGAUGGAUCAAGAUUGGCUGGCCAGAGUCCAAAU
rnacentral:lncRNA from 1 species